rnacentral:rRNA from 1 species
AUGAACGCUAGCGAUAGGCUUAACACAUGCAAGUCGAGGGGCAGCACAAGGUAGCUUGCUAUCUGGGUGGCGACCGGCGCACGGGUGCGUAACGCGUAUGCAACUUGCCCUAUACAGGAGGAUAACCCGUCGAAAGACGGACUAAUACUGCGUAUGCUCACAACUUGGCAUCAAGUGGUGAGGAAAGAAAUUCGGUAUAGGAUAGGCAUGCGUCCCAUUAGCUUGUUGGUGAGGUAACGGCUCACCAAGGCAACGAUGGGUAGGGGAACUGAGAGGUUUAUCCCCCACACUGGUACUGAGACACGGACCAGACUCCUACGGGAGGCAGCAGUGAGGAAUAUUGGUCAAUGGGCGCGAGCCUGAACCAGCCAAGUCGCGUGAAGGAUGACUGUCUUAUGGAUUGUAAACUUCUUUUAUACGGGAAUAACAAGAGUCACGUGCGACUCCCUGCAUGUACCGUAUGAAUAAGCAUCGGCUAACUCCGUG